CAAUCUCCCCCUAAAAUCUCCUCCCCUUUCAAAAUCAAAAUCUUUAUCGUCCACUUUGACCGCACUUUGAUUCAUCAAUUUAUUUCAUUCGUGAAUUUCGAAAACGGUGGGACAGAAGAGUUAAAGAACCGUAGGAACGACACACGCGUAUAACGGCGGCAGAAAUGGAAAUUCUAACUCUUUAAUUAAACACGGAGCGUCGUUAUAAUCUAAUUCCCCAGAAGGGGGACAUCAGAAGAGGCUUGCGUAACACUGCGAGUCUCGGUUCGUCGAUCAAAGUGGCGAGUGUAUCGUUUCGAACGUACGCGAGAAUUCCCCCUGCUGAUUUCGAAUGGUGGUUCGCACGGUUAGCUAAGCACCUUUAUAUGCUCGCAAGCACGUAACGAGAGUGGUCUUAAUAUCGUUGCUCCGGGACAAUCCUGAGUGGCGAAGUCGCACGAUCAACCGAUUUCUCUUGUGUGGAAAUGCGUGAAAUGAUCGCGAUUAGGUUCAUCGUUACGAUUUGAUCAACUUUCUUUCGUCGAAUUAUUGAUUUUCCCGAUACAUUUCAAUGAUCCACGAGCUCAAAUUUCCUCCUAUAUCCGGGGUUACGAUAAACUUGCCUUCGACCAGCCAUGCCCGACAAACUAAAAUUGCUGCACCAUUGAUCAUCAUCCAAUAGGGACGUAACAAUGCACGUUGCCGAAAGAACGUUCGACUAAUAAAUCGAGAUCCCUGCAACACCAAGAGAUCCCUCUAUAUAUGAUGAAUUUUUUUUUUCCAGAGCACAAACUCUCGAUUACUUCAGAACGUAGUAUCGAAACGUGUUUUUCAAAAAAAAAAAAUAUUUUUCGCAAAUAUUAUGCGCCACAUAUUGACGUUUGUUAACGGGGUGUCGUUAUCAAUAGUACCGAUAGUACCGAGUAAACUAAAAGAGGAAUAGAUUUGUUUUUGGGAUUAACGAAUACGUUUGAAGCUAUGUACGCGUGCAGAUAUCGCGUGCGAAUUAGAUUAGAAUUAAAAUAACAUUAAAGAUAAUUAAAUUAAUUAUAGAGAUAUACGUGUAUUAUAUAUUUGUUUGAAAAAAUCGAAGCCAAUUUAGAUAGACCGAGAUCGUAUUUAUGAGCGUGCAAAGAUCGAUAAAAAUAACAGUUAAUAAAGGUUUUAAUAAAUAUCUAAUUUUUUUUUGAAUGAAGACUGAAUAAAGAUAAAACACGUAAAUACAUAUCCACAAAAUCAAUUGUAUUGGAAAAUUGGUUAAAAUCAGGAUAAUUACUUUAAAGAAAAUAUUUUUAAAGCGUCUUGAUUCUAACUACAAUAAUAUAGAGUAAAAAAUAUAUAUAUGGGAACAUUAAUUCGUCACAAUAGGACGCCUUUCGUAUGAGCGUUUGGAAAGGGUUUGGUAAAACGGUUUGCCUCGUAAAAUUCGAGGAAAAUAUUUUCACGAACAGACAGGAUUUUGCGGUUAUUUUGAGUUCGGCUUUGACACUGUCACCGAAAUUCCCAUCGCGCGUAUUUCUUAUUGUUUGUUACCGUUCGAUAUACGUUUCCGAAUGACACGGAUCGUUUGUUAGAGGCAAAGGUUAGAAAAGUGCGAUUUUGGAAUAUUUAGUGAAAUGUGAACGAAUAUUUUCUCUGCUCUGGAUGGAUGGAAUGCGAUUUUCAAUUACUUUUUCGAUUAUUAACGCUACAAGUAACUCAAAGUAAGUCGAAUUGAUCGAUUUUGGAUAAUUAGUGUGUAAAUAUUUUUUAAGAGAAUUAAUAUUAAUUUUUUUUUUAAACAGAAUAUAUAUAUAUAUAUUUUACAUAAUACUUUAAUUCCAUUCGAUAAUGCAGUAUUAAAAUUUUUGUUUGUAUUUUUGAUUGAGAAUAAUUAUAUUUAUAUGAUCGAUACAUUAUUUUUUAUAUAUCUAAUAAUAUAAAUAUCUCGUGUCUAGAAAAUUUUUCAUUUAGAGAUUUCGCUAGACAAGCGACACCGUGAUACAUUAACGGACAUUCCCUGCUGUCUGGCCAACUUAGCUUGCUGACGGUUGGCUGGUUGCCUACGUCUAGGCAUUUUUGGUGUAUAAUUAAAUUUAUAAUAACUUUGAUUUAACAACUCGAAAAAAAAUACGUCUCACUCAUUACGUCGACUAUGUAACAUUUGCACGAUAAAUAAUAAAAAUUUUAACAAGCAAUACGUUAAUAAAAGAUAUUAAACAAUAAAUUAGAACUAUAUCGAAAACAAACGAUAUAUAUAUAUAUAUAUAUAUAUAUAUAUAUAUAAAUCGAUCUUCUUCAAAAGAAUAAACAAAAUUAAAAUUCAAUAUUAUUCGACUCGACUAAAAACAAUCGUUCGAUAUUGGCGCACGUUUAUACGCGCACUGUUGAUAAAACAGAGAGAAACAAAGGAAAGAGAAGAAUAAAAAAAAAAGAGAGAAAAAAGAAACUACAAAUACAAGAGUGGAGGAGAACGAAGAAACAGAGCAAUGAGAUAUUCUUGCUCGAAACGAGUCGCCUUAAUUAUUCCAGGCUGCGAUGAAUGCUAAUUCAACAUUUUCCGCGAGUUUGUGAAACAGCAGACGCAGGGACACGCCACGCUGAUUAACGGGCAUUCGAGCCAGCCAGUAUCCUAAAUUCGGCGAUGCGAGCCGGCCUACUGUUGUUUGCCGGUCGAACUUAAUUAACGUUAAUCAGGCCACUUCACUUUCACCUGGCCGACGAAAGGAUGCUAUCCGCUUGGCGGGAAAUAUUUCGAUUGUUUUCUCGUCCAUGGAGAUGCGUUUCUGAUGAUGGCGAGAGUUUUAUAAUGUAUAUAACGAUAACGAAAGAGAAAAUUACACGAGUGUUGUUUAUCGCGUUGUUUCUCCCCACGGCGUGAACCGAUGGUUGUACUUCGUGUGGAAAUAAUUUUAAACCCGAGCUGUUCGACAAUUGUUUUCCUUAAACAGAUAUUAGGAUAAAUAUAAUUAUAAUUAAUGAAAAAGUUGUAUAAAUUGAAAUGUGUAUAAAAACGACGGAAAAAAGAAAAUCUGACGAAUAUUAUACAGGGUGUAAAAUAUUCUAUUUAAUCCAUCAUAUAAUAUCUGUUUAUUUAU